rnacentral:tmRNA from 1 species
GGUGUUGACCGUGCGAAGCGCGGAGUCUAUGUAUUGGUGGUCUUCGGCGGAAACGACGGAGACUAUGACAGUAGACGGACGACGUAGAUAGCGGUUGAGACCGGGGAUGCGAAGCCCCGCACCUCCACCAUGAGUAGUACAGUGAACAUGAUGUUCAACUUCGGGUACUAUUGAUGAUGGGGGUGAAUUAGGAUCGAUCAGGCGCAAAGGGGUCAGCUUGCUGUUCGGCAUGAUACCGCCGUUAUCGGGUCACCAGAGUAGUUGCAAACGAUAACAACGCUCAGGUUCGUGCUCUCGCUGCCUAACCGCAGCGCGGGAGAACCGCACCAAGUCCUCUAGGUUAGCCCCUUGAGGCGGGGUUCCCGGGUACCUGGCAACAGAAACCCGGAUU